rnacentral:lncRNA from 1 species
UUCCUCAGUCCAUCCAUUACUAGCUCUAUUAAUUGAUAGCCAGUUCAGGAUUUUUGUCAUAACAUUCUUGAGUAGAUACACGUAAAGAAUAGGUGCUGGUGGGUUUCAUUAGCUUCCAUGCAGAGUGGACAUAAUGUAUCAUUUGUGAUCCCCCAUCUUGCUAGUCUACCUCUGGUGUAGAGUCUUCUAUUAAUAGCCAAGUACAGUGCAAAGAUCCAUUUAGGACUCCCCUGGUUGUUGCAGGUCAUUCUCCUCCAGGGAACCUUGAUAUAUUCACCCCUCAGCUUCUUAUACAUUGCAUUGAUACUAAACUCAUCUGUCUCCAUGACUUCUGCAAUUUGCAAGCCCUUCUCUUCAAGCCAAUGCCCUGCCUGCAGAAUUUUCCUCACUAUCCAGGAAGCCUGAUUUGCUAUUACUUCCCAUGGUUUCCUACCUUUGAGGUAAAAGGUAUGCACCAAUACAAUCCAC